rnacentral:rRNA from 1 species
AAAAGAACCCCGGCGAGGGGAGUGAAAAAGAACCUGAAACCGUGUACGUACAAGCAGUGGGAGCACGCUUAGGCGUGUGACUGCGUACCUUUUGUAUAAUGGGUCAGCGACUUAUAUUCUGUAGCAAGGUUAACCGAAUAGGGGAGCCGAAGGGAAACCGAGUCUUAACUGGGCGUUAAGUUGCAGGGUAUAGACCCGAAACCCGGUGAUCUAGCCAUGGGCAGGUUGAAGGUUGGGUAACACUAACUGGAGGACCGAACCGACUAAUGUUGAAAAAUUAGCGGAUGACUUGUGGCUGGGGGUGAAAGGCCAAUCAAACCGGGAGAUAGCUGGUUCUCCCCGAAAGCUAUUUAGGUAGCGCCUCGUGAAUUCAUCUCCGGGGGUAGAGCACUGUUUCGGCAAGGGGGUCAUCCCGACUUACCAACCCGAUGCAAACUGCGAAUACCGGAGAAUGUUAUCACGGGAGACACACGGCGGGUGCUAACGUCCGUCGUGAAGAGGGAAACAACCCAGACCGCCAGCUAAGGUCCCAAAGUCAUGGUUAAGUGGGAAACGAUGUGGGAAGGCCCAGACAGCCAGGAUGUUGGCUUAGAAGCAGCCAUCAUUUAAAGAAAGCGUAAUAGCUCACUGGUCGAGUCGGCCUGCGCGGAAGAUGUAACGGGGCUAAACCAUGCACCGAAGCUGCGGCAGCGACGCUUAUGCGUUGUUGGGUAGGGGAGCGUUCUGUAAGCCUGUGAAGGUGUGCUGUGAGGCAUGCUGGAGGUAUCAGAAGUGCGAAUGCUGACAUAAGUAACGAUAAAGCGGGUGAAAAGCCCGCUCGCCGGAAGACCAAGGGUUCCUGUCCAACGUUAAUCGGGGCAGGGUGAGUCGACCCCUAAGGCGAGGCCGAAAGGCGUAGUCGAUGGGAAACAGGUUAAUAUUCCUGUACUUGGUGUUACUGCGAAGGGGGGACGGAGAAGGCUAUGUUGGCCGGGCGACGGUUGUCCCGGUUUAAGCGUGUAGGCUGGUUUUCCAGGCAAAUCCGGAAAAUCAAGGCUGAGGCGUGAUGACGAGGCACUACGGUGCUGAAGCAACAAAUGCCCUGCUUCCAGGAAAAGCCUCUAAGCAUCAGGUAACAUCAAAUCGUACCCCAAACCGACACAGGUGGUCAGGUAGAGAAUACCAAGGCGCUUGAGAGAACUCGGGUGAAGGAACUAGGCAAAAUGGUGCCGUAACUUCGGGAGAAGGCACGCUGAUAUGUAGGUGAAGUCCCUCGCGGAUGGAGCUGAAAUCAGUCGAAGAUACCAGCUGGCUGCAACUGUUUAUUAAAAACACAGCACUGUGCAAACACGAAAGUGGACGUAUACGGUGUGACGCCUGCCCGGUGCCGGAAGGUUAAUUGAUGGGGUUAGCCGCAAGGCGAAGCUCUUGAUCGAAGCCCCGGUAAACGGCGGCCGUAACUAUAACGGUCCUAAGGUAGCGAAAUUCCUUGUCGGGUAAGUUCCGACCUGCACGAAUGGCGUAAUGAUGGCCAGGCUGUCUCCACCCGAGACUCAGUGAAAUUGAACUCGCUGUGAAGAUGCAGUGUACCCGCGGCAAGACGGAAAGACCCCGUGAACCUUUACUAUAGCUUGACACUGAACAUUGAGCCUUGAUGUGUAGGAUAGGUGGGAGGCUUAGAAGUGUGGACGCCAGUCUGCAUGGAGCCGACCUUGAAAUACCACCCUUUAAUGUUUGAUGUUCUAACGUUGACCCGUAAUCCGGGUUGCGGACAGUGUCUGGUGGGUAGUUUGACUGGGGCGGUCUCCUCCUAAAGAGUAACGGAGGAGCACGAAGGUUGGCUAAUCCUGGUCGGACAUCAGGAGGUUAGUGCAAUGGCAUAAGCCAGCUUGACUGCGAGCGUGACGGCGCGAGCAGGUGCGAAAGCAGGUCAUAGUGAUCCGGUGGUUCUGAAUGGAAGGGCCAUCGCUCAACGGAUAAAAGGUACUCCGGGGAUAACAGGCUGAUACCGCCCAAGAGUUCAUAUCGACGGCGGUGUUUGGCACCUCGAUGUCGGCUCAUCACAUCCUGGGGCUGAAGUAGGUCCCAAGGGUAUGGCUGUUCGCCAUUUAAAGUGGUACGCGAGCUGGGUUUAGAACGUCGUGAGACAGUUCGGUCCCUAUCUGCCGUGGGCGCUGGAGAACUGAGGGGGGCUGCUCCUAGUACGAGAGGACCGGAGUGGACGCAUCACUGGUGUUCGGGUUGUCAUGCCAAUGGCACUGCCCGGUAGCUAAAUGCGGAAGAGAUAAGUGCUGAAAGCAUCUAAGCACGAAACUUGCCCCGAGAUGAGUUCUCCCUGACUCCUUGAGAGUCCUGAAGGAACGUUGAAGACGACGACGUUGAUAGGCCGGGUGUGUAAGCGCAGCGAUGCGUUGAGCUAACCGGUACUAAUGAACCGUGAGGCUUAACCUU